AUGGAAAUGAGAAAGCAAAAGCCCAAACCCAUGAUGUUAAUGUAUGUAUAUAUUUUGGUUAACUAUCUCCUUAGACUUUGGCAAUCGAAUUGGAGCGCAAAUAAAGCAACCGCGAAUUUGGAAGACAGCAAAAGAGAUGAUUUCUAUAAAUGGGUUAAGCUUAAGCGUAGUUAAACCCAAAAUCGCAUUCACCAAGAGCCCUUAUCUCGUUCCUCUGUUUUUCCAUAACCCCAAAACCUCUUCUUCAUCGCCUUCGCAAGUCGCUUUAAGACCUGUUUCUUCUUCAAUGUCUUAUGAAAAGGAGCUUGCUGCCGCCAAGAAGGCUGCCUCUCUCUCUGCCCGCCUCUGCCAGAAGGUACAAAAAGUUCUUUUGCAAUCAGAUGUUCAAUCAAAAUCAGAUAGAAGUCCAGUCACAGUGGCUGGUUAUGGCUCACAAGCACUGGUUAGUUUUGUGCUACAGAGGGAGCUUCCUUCUGAACCAUUUUCAUUGGUGGCUGAGGAGGAUUCAGGAGAUCUUCGUAAGGAUGAGGCCCAGGAAACACUAGAGCGCAUUACAAAACUUGUCAAUGAUACUCUGGCUAGCGAUGAAUCGUAUGCCACCUCUACUUUAUCCACAGAAGAUGUGCUCAGGGCCAUUGACUCUGGCAAAUCUGAUGGUGGUUCCCAUGGCAGGCAUUGGGUCCUGGAUCCCAUAGAUGGUACUAAAGGGUUUCUGAGAGGAGAUCAAUAUGCAAUUGCAUUAGCAUUGCUAGAUGAAGGAAAAGUAGUGCUGGGCGCCUUGGCUUGUCCAAAUCUUCCUUUAGCUUCUAUUGGUGGUGAUGAAUCAACAUCCUUCGCAAGGUGAAGUUGGUUGCCUUUUCUUUGCUAAUAUUGGUGCUGGGACUUACAUGCAACUGCUGAAUAGUUCUUCAGCAAUUAAGGUGCAAGUCACUGCAAUUGAAAAUCCUGAAGAAGCAUCAUUCUUUGAAUCAUAUGAAGCAGCACACUCUAUACACGAUUUGUCGAGCUCAAUUACGAAAAAACUUGGUGUCAAAGCACCCCCAGUUAGAAUUGAUAGCCAGGCAAAGUAUGGUGCUCUAUCCAGAGGAGAUGGGGCAAUAUAUCUGCGUUUCCCUCAUAAAGGUUACCGUGAGAAAAUAUGGGAUCAUGCCGCUGGAUGUAUAGUUGUGACAGAGGCUGGGGGAGUGGUCACAGAUGCGGCUGGAAACCCUUUAGAUUUCUCUAAAGGAAGAUAUCUGGAUCUUGACACUGGCAUAAUUGUUACCAAUCAGAAGUUGAUGCCAUCUCUUUUGAAGGCAGUUAGAGAUUCCCUGGAGGAGAAGGCUUCAUCCUUGUAAUUACUUCUGGAUUAAUGAUUUCACCAUUUCUUUUGUCUCAAGCUGUUCUUUAUGUCCUUUCAAUCAUCCACAAUGGUUUGUCAAUUGGUUGUUUUAGGAGCAAAUUUCUUGUAAUAAUUUAAUAAACCAUGGUCUCUUACAGAACACAGGGUUUUAAACAUUUCGGGGCUUAGGUGUUUUUGGUUUAUCAAAUCUGCCAAUCUGGCAAGUGCAAAACUACUGUUUUAUUGCCUUCUCUCUCGGUUGAAUAAUUCUGAUGUUU
rnacentral:misc_RNA from 1 species